rnacentral:rRNA from 1 species
UACUAGAGUAGCACUCGCAUAUCAAUAAGCGGAGGAAAAGAAACUAACAAGGAUUCCCCUAGUAACGGCGAGUGAAGCGGGGAAGAGCUCAAAUUUGAAAUCUUAAAGGGUUUCCCUUUACGAAUUGUAGUUUAAAGAAGUGUUUUCUGUUGAGGUUUUGGUAAAAGUUCUUUGGAAUAGGACAUCAUAGAGGGUGAGAAUCCCGUAUUUGACCUUUACUUUCAACUUUGUGAUACACUUUCAAAGAGUCGGAUUGUUUGGGAAUGCAGGUCCAUAAAUGGGUGGUAAAUUUCAUCUAAAGCUAAAUAUUGGCGAGAGACCGAUAGCGAACAAAGUACCGUGAGGGAAAGAUGAAAAGAACUUUGAAAAGAGAGUUAAACAGUACGUGAAAUUGUCAAAAGGGAAGCGUUUGACACCAGUGUUGUUUUUCUGAAAAUCAAUUAAAGAACUGUUUAUGCUAAGUUGUUUAGACUUUAUCAGCUAUCUGUUUAGUUUUGAGCUUUUCUUUAAUGCACUUUUCAGUUAACAAGUCAACAUCAAUUUCUUUUGCUGUAAAAAAGCUUGAGGAAGGUGGCUUGAGAUUCGUCUUAAGUGUUUAUAGCCUCUUGCCUAUGCAGUCGGAGAGAUUGAGGUCUGCAGCGUAGAUCCUUCGGGGCUAAAUGCAUUUGUGCCUAAGUUAUAGCAUUUUAUAGACAACUUGUUGACUAUGAUUUGUCUUGUAGCUUACUCGCUUAUGUUAUUUUACCUACGCUUAGGAUGUUGAUCUACAGAGCGAGAGU